rnacentral:tRNA from 1 species
UUUUUGAGAGCUGAUUUAGCAAUAAACUUUUAAUUUAUUAAAAGUGGAUUUUUUUUUCCACUUCUUGCGU